CGCCUAGCGUGGCCCAGGGGCCACGGGACGACUCCCAUGCGGGGGCUCCGGCCGGAAAGAGGAGGAACUUGCUAGUUACUAAGUGUCCUGUCCGGCGUGUGGGGUCAAGGACAGGAGGACGGGGAGAGCCGGGGGGUCUGGCUCCGGCUCCGGCUCGCAGCGUGACCUUGGCCGGUCGCUGUCCCUCUCUGGGCUUCCGCCUCCCUGUCUGCCUGCGCGCGGUGGGUGAGGGCUCCCCACAACCCUUCGGCCCUAAAUCCUGCUCAGCUGCAUCCAGAAGGGGGCCUAGGCCCUGUCCGUCCAAGCUGUGGGCACCCCGAGAAGGGCGGCCUGGUGGCACUGGGCCUCUCUGGGGCUGAUGCAGCUGCCCCGGGGGACUCCAGCACACGCUCUCUGAGGCCCUCCCCCGGGCGAGCCCGAGGGGUGCGGGUGCCCAGAGGUGCUCCUGCUCAGGUCCGCCAGCUCCAUCCUGAGGACCGUGUUCUUAAGCAGACUGCCGCCCGGGGGGCCCAGGUGUGUCUGCAAACUUAGUUUGAACGUGUGGUACCUGCAAGGCGCGAGGCCGCAUGUGAGAAGCAGCUCCCUGACCGACGGACACACACUCUCCAAAGAGUCCCUAAGCCACGCUCUCGACCUCUCGUCCCCGGAGAAGGCCGAGGAUGCUCAGCCCAACUC